rnacentral:lncRNA from 1 species
GAACCGGGUUUAACACCAGAAGACUGUGCCUUGACUACACCUUGACUUAUGGCACUGGCCUCCAUCUUUCUAGCAGCAUCCACAAUAGAGUGGAAACUUUCCUUCUCCGCAUGAAGAAUCAAAGAGAAAUACCUGGGAUGAAGCCUUGUGGCAUAUCUCUUUGCCUUCUUCUGAUCUGUAUCAUAUGCCUGACCAACAUAUGGCAACAAUUCCAGGAACUUAUCUGUAUAUGCAUCAACGCUCAUCUCCUCCGUCUGUUGCAACUGCUCAAACUCCACAACCUUUAGUUCCCUGGAACUGUCAGGAAAAGCCCAUCCAGCAAAUUCGUUGGCGAACUCUUCCCAUGUCAUACUCUCAAGUCUCGGGUCCACAUAGUUCUUGAACCAUUCUCUAGC